GUUUGCCCCCAUCCAAUCCAAUUUUCACACCUUCUCGCCAGCUUCAACACUGACAGCUCCUGCGUGGGCGUCACUGAGCGAUAACAACCUAUAAUUAUCUUUGGUGACCAUUUGGGGGAAGAAGAGGGGAUGCCCAACAGGCAAAGAAACCUCAGAUGAACAAUCCGACUGACACAGACCUCAGUGGGAUGCAGGGACACAACUUCCCGGUCUACAGUGCUGGGCCGCGACCCACCAUGGCUGAGAAUUUGCUAGCAAAACGGCCCCAUCUGUCUUCCCCCUGACCUCCUGCACCAGCGAAGUCACCACCUCCCAGGUCACCUUCGGCUGCCUGGCCAAAGGCUACUUCCCCGAGCCGGUCACCGUGACAUGGAGCCCGAAUGUCGGCUCCUCGGGCAUGAGGACCUAUCCCUCCGUGCUGCAACCUUCCAGCGGCCUCUACUCGCUCAGCAGCCAGGUCAUCGUCCCGGCCAGCAGCUGGGAGUCUAACACCUAUCGAUGCACCGUAGAGCACCAGCCCACCAGCUCCAGCAUCUCCAAGGAAAUCCCAAAGCCAAUCCCCACUGAACCCCAAGCCCCUGAGGUGCACGUCCUCCACUCCUCCUGCACCACCAAGCCAGGUGCCAUCCAGCUGCUCUGCUUCAUCUCCGGCUUCUACCCUGAGCCUUUGAAGGUGGAAUGGCUGGUUAACGGCGAGCCCGGGUUACUUCAUGGGGACACCGCUCCUGCCAAGAAGGACGCCGACGGCCGCACCUUCAGCACCCGCAGCAAUGCCAGCGUCUCCCAGGACGUAUGGCUGGAGGGCAAGACGUACACCUGCCACGUGUCCCACCCGGGCACUGGGAGCAAAAAGCAGGCCCACGCCCGCAAGUGCAAAGAAGAAACUACAUCUCCCAGCAACAUCCAGGUCUUCCUGGUGCCCCCAUCUCCUGCCGCCCUGUACGUGGCCCAGAACCCCAUGCUCACCUGCCUGGUGGUCAACCUGCCUAGCGACUCCGGCCUCCAGGUGGUCUGGUCCCGGGAAAAGCCAGGGUCCGUUAACCCUGAUCCCCUGACCCUCAGUCAGCAGUUCAACAGCACCUUCACCGCCUCCAGCUCCAUGCCCAUCUUCACCCGCGACUGGGAGGCCGGAGAGACCUUCACUUGCAAAGUGGAGCACUCGGACCUGGUCUCGCCCCUCAUCAAAUCGAUCUCCAAGAAGCCAGGCAAGCAGUCCGCCCCGGGCGUCUACCUCCUGCAGCCCCACAUGCACGAGCUGAGCAGCAAAGGAGACUCUGUCAGCGUCACCUGCCUGGUGCGGGGCUUCUUCCCCGAGGACAUCUCGGUGCAGUGGAUGAAGAACCAUGAAAGUGAAAAGGAGACUGACUACAUCACCACCCCGCCCAUGAAGGAUGGAGCCAGCGACACGAACUUCUUCCUCUACAGCAAGCUGAAAGUCAGCAAGGCCAGCUGGAACAGCGGGGACACCUACACCUGCAUGGUCACCCACCAAGCCCUCUCAUUGAAGUUCACCCAACGCAGCAUCAGCAAAAUCUCUGAGGUGAUCGUGUCAGGUGAGUUUUGCAGCGAGGACGAGGAUGAGGAGCUGGAUGGACUCUGGUCAAGCAUCUCGGUCUUCAUCACCCUCUUCCUCUUGAGUGUGUGCUACAGCGCCACCGUGACCCUGUUCAAGGUGAAGUGGUUUUUCUCCACCCUAGUGCAGCUGAAGAAGGCGAGUGGCCCCGAGUACAAGAACGUGAUCCAGCGCGUGGUGUAGAAGCUGCUGCCCCCAUCUGCCCCGAGACAAGGGUUCGGGGCUCCUGGCUCCAUUGGCGACAACGCCCUGAGUCCCACAGCUGCCCCCCGCCAGCGCUGUGCCCCUGGCAGACCCCUCGGGGGGGAGACAGGACCUCACUCCACAUGGCCUAAUCAGCCCUCAGCCACUAGGGAUGCUGCCCUGCUCGGAGCUUGGCUGAGACCGGACAACUCCUAUCCUGCAGGGAACCAGCGCCCCUAGCGAGGAAACAACCCUUCUCCCACUUCCCACCCUCCUGAGCCCAACAGUCCCUGCUCUGGGGCUGGGUCAGAGCCAGCGCUUCUAGAGGGGAAAGGCCUCACUUCCCUUCCCCACCCCCUGUGCCAGCCAGCCCCCCGCCCUGGGGCAGGACCAUAGCCAGA